rnacentral:rRNA from 1 species
UACGAAGGGGGCUAGCGUUGCUCGGAAUCACUGGGCGUAAAGCGCACGUAGGCGGCUUGUUAAGUCAGGGGUGAAAUCCUGGAGCUCAACUCCAGAACUGCCUUUGAUACUGGCGAUCUCGAGUCCGGGAGAGGUGAGUGGAACUGCGAGUGUAGAGGUGAAAUUCGUAGAUAUUAGGAAGAACACCAGUGGCGAAGGCGGCUCACUGGCCCGGUACUGACGCUCAUGUGCGAAAGCGUGGGGAGCAAACAGG